UACGUAGGGUGCGAGCGUUGUCCGGAAUUAUUGGGCGUAAAGAGCUCGUAGGCGGUGUGUCACGUCGUUCGUGAAAACCUGCAGCUUAACUGUGGGCGUGCGGUCGAUACGGGCAUCACUGGAGUUCGGCAGGGGAGACUGGAAUUCCUGGUGUAGCGGUGAAAUGCGCAGAUAUCAGGAGGAACACCGGUGGCGAAGGCGGGUCUCUGGGCCGAUACUGACGCUGAGGCGCGAAAGCUAGGGGAGCGAACGGG
rnacentral:rRNA from 1 species